rnacentral:rRNA from 1 species
ACAGGACCANAAGGCGGUUUGUUAAGUCAGAUGCGAAAUCCCCGGGCUCAACCUGGGAACUGCAUCUGAUACUGGCAAGCUUGAGUCUCGUAGAGGGGGGUAGAAUUCCAGGUGUAGCGGUGAAAUGCGUAGAGAUCUGGAGGAAUACCGGUGGCGAAGGCGGCCCCCUGGACGAAGACUGACGCUCAGGUGCGAAAGCGUGGGGAGCAAACAGGAUUAGAUACCCUGGUAGUCCACGCCGUAAACGAUGUCGACUUGGAGGUUGUGCCCUUGAGGCGCGGCUUCCGGAGCUAACGCGUUAAGUCGACCGCCUGGGGAGUACGGCCGCAAGAUUAAAACUCAAAUGAAUUGACGGGGGCCCGCACAAGCGGGGGAGCAUGUGGUUUAAUUCGAUGCAACGCGAAGAACCUUACCUGGUCUUGACAUCCGCGGAAGUCUUCAGAGAUGAGAAUGUGCCUUCGGGAACCGUGAGACAGGUGCUGCAUGGUUGUCGUCAGCUCGAGUUGUGAAAUGUUGGGUUAAGCCCCGCAACGAGCGCAACCUUUAUCCUUUGUUGCCAGCGNUCCGUCCGGGAACUCAAAAGGAGACUGCCAGUGAUCAACUGGAGGAAGGUGGGGAUGACGUCAAGUCAUCGUGGCCCUUACGACCGGGGCUACACACGUGCUACAAUGGCGCAUACUAAGAGAAGCGACCUCGCGAGAACCAGCUGACCUUAAAAAGUGCGUCGUAGCCCGGAUUGANGUCUGCAACUCGCCUCCAUGAUGUCGGAAUCCCUAGUAAUNGUGCAUCAGAAUGCCAGGGUGAAAACUUUCCCGGGCCUUGUACACCCCCGCCCGUCACNCCCAGGGAUUCGGUUGCAAAAUAAAGUAGCNGGCUUAACCCUCCGGAAGGCCNGUUACUACUUUGUAAUUUAUCACUCGGG